GCUGCGAGAGGCUCAUCAACUUCCACACGCCCGGCUAGCUGGUAUGUUACUCAGUAUUGGAUCUUGGCUGCCACCACUGCACCCUGCGCCUGUAUGUGUGUGGACUAGAGGCACAGGUUAAAUAUCUAAGCAAUCGGUGAGUGUGUAUCUUGUUGUCUUGGUAAUGGGGAGCACAGUGAUGACGGAGCCUCUGUGGACGUCAUCGCUUGAGCGCCGGCCGGAGCGGGCGGGUGACCCGCCUUCCGGAAGACGUCCGUCACCGGGUGAUUUAUGGCUGUUAUAAGAUAGUACAGUUGGAUUGUUAGUUCACAAGAGUGUGAAGAUGUCAAGCCUUGCAAGUCUUUCCUUGUGUUCCAGCGUCUCCAUACCCUUAGUUUGGUCGCCCGCCUCUGAAUCAUUUCUAGUUCCAGGAUAUCCUUUUUGUAGUAGGGUGCCUAAAAUUGUGCGCAUUAUUCCAGAUGGGGCCUCACUAGGGCUUUAUAUAAUGGGAGUAUAACUCUCUCAUCCCUUGCAUCAAUACCCCUCUUUAUGCAUGCUAAUACCUUGUUUGCCUUUUUUGCCACUAUCCUACAUUGGGUGCUGCUGCUAAGUUUGUUAUCUAUGUGAACACCUAAAUCUUUUUCCAGUACGGAGUCCCCUAAAAUCACCCCAUUACAUAUGUUAUUUUUGUUCUUGUUACCAAGGUGCAUUACAUUACAUUUGUCUGUAUUAAACCUCAUUCUCCAUUUUGCUGCCCAUGAUUCCAGUUUAAAUAAAUCGUUCUGGAGAGACUCAGCGUCUCCCUCUGAAUUUAUAACCUUCCAUAGUUUGGUAUCGUCUGCAAAAAUUGACACCAUGCUCUCUAGACCUUCAAGUUCUGCUAGAUUAUUAAUGAAAAUGUUGAACAAUAGUGGUCCAAGUACAUACCCCAAUGGCACUCCACUUAGUACUUCAGGCCAAUUUGAAAAAGAUCAAUUUACCACAACGCACUGCUAUUAUCUAACCAGUUUCUAAUCCAAGUGCACAUUGUGCUCCCUAGCCCCAAUUUUUGUAACUUAUAGAAAAGUCUCAUGUGUAGCACUGUGUCGAAAGCUUUAGCAAAGUCUAAAAAGAUUACAUCUACCACCUUACCCUGAUCAAGGUUCGCACUAACUUUUUCAUAAAAGCCUAGUAAGUUUGUUUGACAUGAUCUAUCCUUCACAAAUCCAUGUUGGUUCCUAAUAAUAAUCUUUUUGGCUUCAAGGAUUUUCUGUACGCUAUCCCUUAGAAUGCUUUCUAGCACUUGCCCCACUAUAGAUGUAAGACUAACUGGCCUAUAAUUGCCUGGUUCAGCUUUACUCCCCUUUUUGAAGAUCGGCACUACUUUCGCUAUGCGCCAGUCUUUGGGAACCAUGGGGGUCAUUCCGAGUUGAUCGCUCGCUAGCAGUUUUUAUCAGCCGUGCAAAUGCAUUGUUGCCGCCUACUGGGGAGUGUAUUUUCGCUUUGCAGAAGUGCGAACGCUUGUGCAGCAGAGCACCUGCAAAAUCCUUUUGUGCAAAACAAGACCAGCCCUGUAGUUACUCUUCGUGUGCGUUGAUUCUAAUGAUGGAGGGACGGCUUUUGACGUCACACACCUGCCCAGCAAACGCCCAGCCACGCCUGCGUUUUUCAGCCACACCUGCAUUUUUCCAAACACUCCCUGAAAACGGUCAGUUGCCACCCAGAAACACCCACUUCAUGUCAAUCUUCCUGCAUUUGGCCGUGCGAUAGGAAUGUUCUGAUUGCUGCGCUGUGAACAACGGCAGCUAGCGAUCAACUCGGAAUGACCCCCCAUACCUGAUGAAAGUGAAUCAUUGAAGAUUAGAAAAAGAGGUCUUGCUAAUUCGGAGUGUAGUUCCAUGUGGAAAUUAUAUUCUUUAUCACCUUCUUCUUUGUCAUCUUUCAAACAUUAUUUUUCGGAAUAUGCAUGUAUCUGUCAUUGGAUUGAAGUUUGAAUUAUUGAGUCAUCCAGUGUAUUGUGAGCUGUCUGUAAAUGGUAUUUUCAUAACAUCUUCUAAAGUGAUUUCACUCUUCAUUGUGAUUGUCUUCUUUAA